rnacentral:rRNA from 1 species
GACGAACGCUGGCGGCGUGCCUAACACAUGCAAGUCGAACGGGGUGUUCCUUCGGGAACACUUAGUGGCGAACGGGUGAGUAACGCGUGAGAAACCUGCCUUUCAGUGGGGGACAACAGUUGGAAACGACUGCUAAUACCGCAUAAUGUUAUUUGGGGGCAUCCCCGAAUAACCAAAGAUUUAUUGCUGAAAGAUGGUCUCGCGUCUGAUUAGCUAGUUGGUGAGGUAACGGCUCACCAAGGCGACGAUCAGUAGCCGGUCUGAGAGGAUGAACGGCCACAUUGGGACUGAGAUACGGCCCAGACUCCUACGGGAGGCAGCAGUGGGGAAUAUUGGGCAAUGGGGGGAAACCCUGACCCAGCAACGCCGCGUGAAGGAAGAAGGCCUCGGUUGUAAACGUUACUUUACCUAGGACGAAGAACGUAGACGGUACCUGGAGAAAAAGACAACGGACUAACUAACGUG